UGGGGCCUUUGAGGCUUUAGUGGCGCAGCUAACGCGAUAAGUAGACCGCCUGGGGAGUACGGUCGCAAGACUAAAACUCAAAUGAAUUGACGGGGGCCCGCACAAGCGGUGGAGCAUGUGGUUUAAUUCGAUGCAACGCGAAGAACCUUACCUGGCCUUGACAUACAGAGAACUUUCCAGAGAUGGAUUGGCGCCUUCGGGAACUCUGAUACAGGUGCUGCAUGGCUGUCGUCAGCUCGUGUCGUGAGAUGUUGGGUUAAGUCACGCAACGAGCGCAACCCUUUUCCUUACUUGCCAGCAUUUCGGAUGGGAACUUUAAGGAUACUGCCAGUGACAAACUGGAGGAAGGCGGGGACGACGUCAAGUCAUCAUGGCCCUUACGGCCAGGGCUACACACGUGCUACAAUGGUCGGUACAAAGGGUUGCUACAC
rnacentral:rRNA from 1 species